GAUGAUUUGCAGACGCACUGUGCUACUCUUCAGCUGAUAGGAGUGGAGAGAUGAGGCAAAGUAAUAGAUUGGGUGAGAACUCAUUAAACACGGUGAUAGAACAAUGGGCUCUUAGUGCCUUUAACUCCUUAGAUUCAUCUGGAUCUUUCCAUCUCAGCAUUCUCCAGCCACUGGAGACUGAAACAACAAUGAACUGAACGCAGAAAAAAAGCCAGGCAAUUAUUGCAGUUUGGUAAAAAUUUAAUGGAAUUCAUAAAGUCAGAGCAAGAUAACAGUGCAAGGCUUAAAUUGGGGCUGCUGAGAUUCUGACGUAAGAGAAAGAGCAGAGCAGCAGAGCGUGGCCGGGUAAAUUCCUAAGCCAUCUGCAGAGAAUUUUCCCUUUGUGGCCAGGAAGACAUGGCUGAAGGCGAUGGGGUUGGGCAUUCAGCUCCUCCACUCCAUCCCUCAGACUGAACAGAGCUUUGGACCAAGAGAUCAGCACUGAGCUCUGCAAGAGAAGGGAGCUCAGUGCUUUGGUGUAUGUGUGUGUGUUUCUUUUCUUUCCAUCAUACUAAUGAAAUCUGCAGACAUGGAGAGGAAACUGAGAGUUAUUUAUAGGAGUGAGAGGAAUGUGAGACCUAAUUGUUGCUUAGUCUAUUGCUAAGUAUGUAAUCUGUUUGCUAUUAAAUUUUACAGUCUUGCAGCAAUGUACAUAGGUUCUAUAGUGGGCUUUUUUUUUUCUGUUAAGGCAAACAUAUACAGCUGAUGAAGAAAAAAUCUCAGGCUAAGGUGCUUGCAAUCGUUAUGAGCACAGACACAAGGCAUCGUUUUAGGGAGACAACCAGGAUUCAGUGCAACUGCUAACAUCCACCAGGCAGAACUCAGCUCUGGAGCUAGUUGGCUUUAUUGCUUAUCACUGUCUGUCUGCCCUGGAAUAUUCCACCUCUAUAAUUUGCAAGAGGUCCCAUCGGAUCCUGCUCCCUCUCUCCUACGUUUAGGUUUCUCUCCUUUGUGGACAAAUGCUGUUCCUGGGUAUUUUGAAAACGCCGUGGUGACUCACUGACUUUUGUCAUUUUGCUUUGAUGGGACAACAACACUGAAAGGAAAAACAAGUGAUAUUUACUCCCAAUGUCCAAAACUGGCUUCACCACUGCAGGCAGAAUUUAGAAAGCCAGAAAUAGAGAUGUGAUUAUAGUGUACGUGGCAAUUAAGAGGCAGCCCUGUAGGAUCCUCCUGCUGGGUUUCAGCCGGACGCACAGCACUGUGCCUGGCUGUAGUGCCAUCCAUCUUUGUGAGGCUGCUAGGAGAAGAAAAGAGCCUUGACAGAUACAGUGGGAGCUGGCAUUUAGGGCUGAAGCACUGAGAGGUGCCCACUGUACAUCCCUGCGGGGAUGAUCUCAGCCCUUUCUCAGAUUGCUUGCACAUCUCUUUUAAAUCUCAAGUGUAACUCUCAAAUAAAUUGACUUUAUUCAGUGGGAGAAUGAA